UACGUAGGGGGCAAGCGUUGUCCGGAUUCAUUGGGCGUAAAGAGCGUGUAGGCGGCCUGGAAGGUCAGCUGUGAAAACUCGAGGCUCAACCUCGAGACGUCGGUUGAAACCACUUGGCUAGAGUCCGGAAGAGGAGUGUGGAAUUCCCGGUGUAGCGGUGAAAUGCGCAGAUAUCGGGAAGAACACCCGUGGCGAAGGCGGCACUCUGGGACGGUACUGACGCUGAGACGCGAAAGCGUGGGGAGCGAACAGG
rnacentral:rRNA from 1 species